CUCCUCUGCCUUUCUUUCCACUCUUGCUAUCAAGACUACAAAGAAGGCCUCAGAUAUGUAGGGAAACUGAUUAUACACUUCAACGCACUUCCUGAAAAUCAUCUCUAUUGGGGAAGAGUGGUGCUUACUGCAGUUCAUGAAGAGUGAGGCCUUCUAAAGCCUUUAGCGGGAGAUAAGUGCCUGGAAAACAAAGAGGAAACAAAGGAAGACCUAAAGCCAAGGCCCCUGAAUGAGGAGAACUCAGCCUGCUUCACCUGAAGCACCUCUGCAGGAAGAGCUAGGACAAAAAUCAGUGGCUGCAUUUUGACACAAGCAGUUUUUCAGUUACAUCAGUUCUGUGUUUUCAGACUCUUCAAGCUGCCCUACUGUGAUGACAGAAAGCUUCUGAAGGAAGAAGACACUGAGAUUCCAGAGGAACUCAUUAUGCCAGAAGACAACUGUUGAAGAUAUGAGUUUGGAAGGGGUCUCCGGAGGUCACUCAGUGCAGUGUCCUCCUCCAAGUGGAGCUUCACAAGUAGAUCGGGUCGCUCAAGGUCGUAUCUCCGGGAAACGCCACAGCAACCCUGCCCAUCUCUUCCAGGGCCUGACCACCCUACUGGGAAGAACUUCUAAAGUUCUUUCUGCCCUAUCCACAUUCAUAAUCUCUCCAAGUUUUUCUGCUUGUCCACGUUCCAUUUGUCAUUGUUUAGCAUCUGCUCUUAUACAUAUGCUCCUAUCAGGUAUUUUAUGUGCCCUCUGCACGCGCUUUGCUGAGGCUCUGGUACCUUCCUUGCAGUUAGCACACACCAUUCACCCUUUUUCAAAGAGAACAACAAGAAAAAAGAAUGUUUAAAAAUGCCCUGGGAACAGAGUGUAGAGAGCACACUUGGGUGUAAGGAAGCAUGAAUUUAGUAAGCCACUCCAAUCCCC
ensembl:lncRNA